AUCAGAUCGCUUAUGCAUAUCGUGACCCAAAGAGUUUGCAUUGAAAGGAAGAACCCCUGCGCCAAUAGGUUUUCUGCGGAUGUGGCGGGGAGGCGUGAAACUUUUAAACGGGAGUUUAAAGCAUAUAAAAGAAGAUCAAUGGAUUAAGACAAGGUGUUUUGGAGAAAUAUAUGGAUGACAGUGUCCACAGAGGAUGGGAAACCUUCCCUCAAGAAUGGAGAUCCUGGAGUUCCCACUGUGACUCAGUGAUAUUUUUGGGCAGAGUUGAGACCAGCUGGUUCAUGGGCUGCAAACCAUAUGCUAUUUUACACUAGAAAUCUCUUUUUCCUCUGAACCUGCUUGCAAUUACUCCCAUCUUCUGAUUUCCUGAAUUUUUGGCACCUCAGUUCAAUUUCUACAUCUGCUGCUUACCUAUCUCCUUCCAAGCUUCUCAGGCUGAGAUGCUGCACACACUUCUGGGAUCUGUUCAUCCUCUGGUUUUGGUGAUAUCUAUCUCCAUCUCUCAAUGUGUUACCUUUCCAGCUUUUUUACUGAGACCAUCACUAAAUGUACUUGCCCCAGAAUUACAUGGAGUAGUAAUGAUUGCUUAGUAACACCACAGUUCAUGUAUAGUCCUUGAGUCAGAGUCGAGAUGGGAAGAAACAACAGUUUUGACAUUCCCAGUGUCCUUGCUGAAGCAAUGAAACAGUUUAUAAAUACGCAAGUAUUUGUGCUUUUGAAAUGACUGGAAAUGACUUCACAAUGGGUCUUAAAAUAUACCAAUUGAAUUUUAUUCCAAAAUGCAAUUAUCUCACUAUUAGAAUGAAGCAUAACAAAUUAGCUGCUAUUGCUGGAAGCUAAAAGAAUAACAGAAAUGAUUUGAAGAACUAAGAAAAUUCUCCAAAUAGUGAUGAAAAAUCAGAAGUUCAGCUCCAUGAACAAUGAUGUCACUGUCAUUAAGACGAAUAGUCUAGUAAUAUAUUAUGUUCAUGACCUGUCUAAAUCUUUAAACUUUUGUUGUCAUAUAGUUAAAACAUCUGCAAUAUUUACAUAUUUCCAGAGAAGAGUAUUCUUUAUUCAUAUGAUUUCAAAAUCCUUUUUGGAUUUAAAAAAAGGCAUGAGAUAAAAAAAUACCAUAUUUUUGAAUUGUCAUUUAAUCUGUUCUUUAGGUACUUUUUUCCUUUGUAAAGGGAUCUGACAUUUUUAUUUAUCUUUAAAUGUCUUCUUCAUGUUCUUCGGAAUAAGAGGUCAGCAUACUUUAAAAUAUUGUGUCUUGGAAUCUAAAGUCCUACUUCGAUGUGACCUAAUUUCUUUUUAUAUUUCCAAUACCUGAAUUUUUAAAUAAGAUAAAUAAGUACUAGGAAUGUAAUGUACAAUAUAAUGACUGUAGUUACCCAUGAUGUAGAUAUAUUUAAAAGUUUCUGAGAGAGUAGAUCCUAAGAAUUCUCAUAACAAGGGAAAAAUAAUUUUUUAUGCUGCUGUAUAGCACAUUUCACUGAACUUAUAUUACCAAUGAACAAAGAUGGGAAGGUCUUUUUUUUUUUUUUCCUUUUUAAUGGCAUUUUUUUUCCAUUGAAAGCCUGUAUUUUAGAAUAUACAGUCUAUUAACUUCAAGCUGUUUCAUUGCUGCUUUGAUAUUUCAUUGUGGUACUGUAUUUGGGGGGUUGUGUAUGUUGAAGAGAGGCUGCUUAGAGGAUGCAAGGUGAGCAGAGCACAGGAGCAGAUCACCUACCUCCAGAUCAUUUAGUUCCACAAGAGCAAAAGCUGGAACUAGAAAUAAGGUUAAAAUAUAAAAAUGUAUGUGAGAAAUCAGUUUUAGUUCAGCAAAACUACAAUUUGAUUUUCAUGAAGUGGAUGAUGAUCAACUUGAAGUCCUUCCUGGUGACAAACUUUUCUAGGGAAUGGUAUUAUAUGCAUUGGGGGAAAAAAAAUCUCCAUUAGUCAUAGUUAGUUAUCAACAAAUAGUAAGCUCCUUGAUGGCAAGAUCUAAGUCUAUUUACCCUUCAAAUAACCUAAUAUAUUAAAUUAUCUACAAAAAGUGUUGAUACAUUGCUCAAAUGUUGUGGAUAUUGUUCAUAGACCAGGGCGUCCUUGUCAUUAGAGAACUCAAGGUCCCAGGACGGAAAGCAGGUGCUAAACCAGGAGACACAGUUCAUUAUGACUUAGUUAACAAAGGUCUGCAUUUAUACAACACAGCAACAACAAUUUUAAGUGAUACGUUCCUGAUGUAUGUAUCUUAGUUAUAAGGGUUUUAUGUAUACUUCUAUUAACGGUUAUCUCAAAGUAUAAUUUAUACUUAAGGAAAAUUUCAUGUCAAUGAUUUGUUCUAAAUCCACAUUCACAAAGUUUUUUUAAAUAUUUCAAUAUUUUGUCUGAUUUUAAGAAUUUUAAUAUUCUUAGCUAAGCUUUUUCAAAGUUGGAUAAUGUCAGCUUUACCAUUUUUUGCCCACAUGUGCUUGCAUUAUUGGUAUUAUAUUUAAUUCAUGGUGUUUUUGUAGAAACUUUAAAAGGCUACACUCUAAAGGCUUACUUAGGCACUUCAAUAUAUGUCUAAUUAUUUGCACACAUGCAAAUUGCCAGUGGGUUCUGCAGCACAGCUCCUGAGACUUGAACACUCAUAGGAAGCAUUCCUAAGACACGAUAGGCAUAGAUCCACACUGCAGAAGCUUCUUUAAUUAAGUACAGACCCAAGCCUCACAUUCCCUCUUAAACUCCUGAGCAAUGACAAGACAUGUAAUCCCACUGUUCACUAAUGAAGUAAAUAAAAGGUGAAACACAGAACCACAUUUUCAAUCUGGAAAAGCCUGUGAAUAAAAAUGCCAAUUAGCAAUUUGAUGAACAUAAAAUUUAAAGACUAUUAACAAAACAGUUUGAAUGCAAAAUAAAAAGCUAAAAUUUGUUCUUAUAAGGAAAAAUAAAGUCCACUAAAACAUUUAUUAUAGAUAGCUAUAAUAAGAGAAAGACAUAAGAAGAGAAAGACAUUGAUAAUGAGGUCAAUGGAAGGUUUGAGGAUUUUUUAAAAUUUUGAAUCCUUCUGAGUUUUGUCUUUCUUAGCUUGUGUGUGAGAACAGUUAACUUCUACUCUCUUAGCAAAUUUAAAUUAUAUAAUACAGUGUUAUCAAUUGUAGUCACAUUUUACACUGGAUCCUCAGACUUUAUUCAUCUUACAAGUGAAAGUUUGUAAUCUUUUAGCAAUCUCUCCCUAUUUUCCCAAUCGCCCCAGCCUGGAAACUGCUUUUCUACACUGUUUCUAUCCUUUGCUCUUAACCUCUAAUUGGAAGACAUAUGAUUUGCAAAUAUUUUCUCCCAUUUGGUUGGUUGCCUUUUCAUUUUGUUCACAGUUUCUUUUGCUGUGCAGAAGCAUUUUAGGUUGAUGUUCCACUUUUUUAUUUUUGCUUUUGGUGUCAAAUCUGAAAAUCAUUGCCAAGACUAAUGUCAAGGAGCUUUUUCCUAUACAGUCUGGCUUUAUUUUGUUACCAUAGAAUGAAUCUUUGACCCUAUAUAACACUUUUGCAAAUGAGUUUGAUUUUUAACUCUGAAUCUAUAUGCAUAUUUAUUUAAAAUCCAUUAACGACAAUGGAUCAUUAAAAUCAACUCUCUAAAGAAAAGUCAAACAUAUUAAUAGUUUUGAAGAUUGUCAACUAAAUAUGCUCCCUUUUGAAAAAAAAAAAGAAGAGCAAACCCUAAGUAAAACAGCUUUUUUUUUUUUUUUUUCAGGCCACACCCAAGGCAUAUGGAGAUUCCCAGGCUAUGGCUGGAAUCCACGCUGUAGCUGCUCGCCUAUGCCACAGCAACACCAGAUCCCAGCUGCAUCUUUGACCUACAACCACAGCUCACAGUAACACCAGAUCCUUAACCCAUGGAUAGAGUCCAGGGAUCUAACCCGCAUCCUCAUAGAUACUAUUCAGGUUUGUUUCUGCUGAGCCACGAUGGGAACUCCCUAAAAUAACAUUUUUAAAGUAACUUCUCCAUUGUCAAUAAAUAUUUCAACCCAUGAAACGUGGCUUCUUGCCAUCAAACUUUGAAAUGAUGAUGACGAUAAUAAUGAAAACAAAAAGAAAACAAAGCUAAGGAUAUUUCACUUGUUGAAUAUCACUUAAGUUAUUGUGCAGACCACUUUCUGAAAUACAUAUUUAGAGUUAAGACACUGAAACAUGUAACAGUUAUUAAUUCUUAACAGACAGAUGUUUAAAAAUAUUUAUUAAAAGAACUACAAAUUCCAAUUGUUUCCUAGAAAUUUCUUUUACAUAUAAUUGGCCAAAUAAAUAAAUUUAACAUCAUCCUAGGUUUGAAUGUGUAUCUUUUAGUGGCCCAAAGAUUAAACAAAUAUUUUAAAACCCAGAGAUAAUACGGAUCUAAUUUAUGAUUUACUGUCUUGCAACUAUGUAGUAUAGAUAACAUGCAGAAUACACCUUUUUCAAAACUAAGAAAAUUCCAUGGAUGUGAUCUGUAAUGGUUAGUUACUUUAUUUCUUUUUUUUUUUAGGGCCGCAUCUGCCACGUAUAGAGGUUCCCAGGCCAGGAGUCUAAUCAGAGAUACAGCUGCUGGCCUAUGCCACAGCCACAGUAAUACAGGAU